AAGAUUUUAUUUGUUAUUUAUUUGACAGAGAUCACGAGUAGGCGGGGGGGGGGGAUGCAGGCUCCCUGCUGAGCAGAAAGCCAGAUGCGGGGCUCCAUCCCAGGACCCUGACCAGAGCCAAAGGCAGAGGUUCAACCCACUGAGCCACCCAGUCACCUCCGGUCUACCCUAUUUAAAGGGACAGUGCUAUACCCCUAUCUCCCCUGCAUCCAUUCCCCAUCUCCUUGCCCUAUUUAUUUGUCUCCAUAGCACUUAGCACCACCGGACCCUGUCUAUUUGAUUUUUAUCUUUCAUCUCUCCUCUCUACUAGGUUGUCAACUCCAUGUGGGCAGAGAGCUUUGCCCUGGUGACUGCUCUGUCCCCAGGGGCUGGGCACAAAGUGGGCCCUAAGUAAGCAAAAAAACAAUGAAUAAAGAAAUGGCAGUGCCAGAGGAAGCCUGGGUGGCUCAGUCCGUUAAGUGGAGAAGACGCCGGGGUGAAGGGUCAGCUUGAAGAUGAAGACGGCCAAGAGUCAGGGAUGCACAUAAAUAGCCCAAGGGUCAGGUUGGCUGCAAAUCAGGCUUCAGGGUGAGUAUUGGCUAAGUCAGACCCCAGGGUGGGGGUGGGGCUUCUCAGGAUCAGGGUGAGAGUAAAUUGGUGUGUGAGGUUCAGGGUGGAGCUAUGCUGGGACCCAUGGUUGGGUCCUGGGUCACCAUCUUACCGGAUUGUAAGUGGGCUGGUAGCCAGGUGCAGGGACAUAGGCCAUCUUGAGAGGUUGGGCUGGUGGCUCGUCCCGGAAGAUAUGCAGCAGUGGGCAAUGUCGGCAGAUAGCAGGUGGUGGGUGGCUCUUAUACCUGAGGGAAAGGGAGUGGCUGGCAGGGCAGGGUCCAUGGGUUCCUCUUCUGGGCAUCCAAGGCUCACAUCUUUUUCUAGGGCAGCCGCUUGUGUCCUUUCUGUUGUUAGCCUCCCUGGCUACCAGCUAGAACCCAGAUCCUCUCAGCUAGGCUGGGAGGUGGGGGCGGCUGGGGGGAGGGGGCUACACUUUAGGUCUUUCUGCAAAGGAAAGUGCUAGUGAACUUUGGCCCUGCCAGGGCCUUAUCAGAGCCCAUAAAAUCCUGCCCAGGCCUUUGUUAACAGAGGGAGGGUACGACCAGGAGGGCUGGGCAGGGCAAGGCUGCAGGAGUGGCCCAUGACAGAUGGGCAAAGGAAGGAAGUGAAAGCAGGGAGGGACGGGUGCUCUGGACAGCCCUAGGAACUGGGAAAGGGACUACACUUAUUGCAUGCCCACUACAUGCCCAAUCCAUGUACAUUAGAUUGUAGGUAUCGUGGUUUAGGUCAUAAUUUCUAGAGCCAGAGGUUCUGGGUUCAAAUCUUGCCUUGACCGCCUCCUGACUGUUCCGUCUUGGCUCAGUACCUUAGCCUCAAUUUCCCCAUUUGCCCUUCUGAAAAAUGGGGAUUCUAGUAGUAUCAACGUCAUAGAAGCCUGGAAAGGAAUCACUAAGAUAAUAAAUGCGCAGAACAGGACUUGGCAUACAGAAGGCACUAAAUUAAUCCUUGGCCUCUUGCACGCAUUCCAAACAUAAACCCAGGAGGUUCCGAUUAUAUAUGGACAUGAAAACCUGAAGUCUAAAGACAUGAGGCAGGGGUGACUGGCUGGCUCAGCUGGUAGAGCACGUAAGCCCUUAAUCUCAGGGUGGUGAGUUCAAGCCCCACCUUGAGCCUGGAGCCUACUUAAAAAAGAAAAGAAAAAGAAAUGAGGCAGUUGGCCCAAGACUGGGUAGCAGCGGAACUCCAGCCAGACUCGGGCGUCAGCUCCCACCAGGCUGUGCAAUGAGUGGGUGCCAGGCAGGGUGAACACCGCCCUCACGCCUGGAGCAGGCAGGGAGACCAUCUGAAGCCUUCUGGCCGGGAGGCAGCUGCCAGACUUUUUAUAGGCCCUGGCCCGUCCACCGCCAGUGCUGAAUGGGCAUCACCUGCACGGCUCCCGUGCUCAUUGGUCAAAUCUCCAUCCCCAACCUUCUGCGCAGCUGCGGUCCUGGGACACCCCCAGGGACGUCGCAGCUCCUUUCUACCUCUGCUCUUUUCAAUGAAGACACCAGCUUCGUUAAGCUGCUUUAUUGUUAAGUUGCUUUAUUGUUCGGGUGAAGAUAAGGCCCUGGGCAUGAGGAAAUCAGAGUUAGGUUAGAAACUGGGAGAUCAAGGGAGAAGGCACCAGGUGACCAUCUUUACUAACUCUCCUUCUCGGGGGAUGAGGAAAUGGGCGUGAGGUGGGAGGCAGCCAGACCCUGGGCCUCGGUGGCUCUCAGAGCUUGGAGAAGGUGACGUUCUUCAGUUCCUGCUUCUCCACUGCAGCCUGGACAGACUUAACGAU